GGGGCAAGAGGUUCGACCCGAGCGAAGCGAGAGAACGUUGCGUCAGCAACGGCCCGCAGGGCGAGCCACGCAGUGGCGAGUCAUCCUCUAUCACCGACCA
rnacentral:sRNA from 4 species